rnacentral:rRNA from 1 species
AUGGUACCUAACCUUCUUCUUUCACGUCUUUCCACAGAGGGGAACAGCCGGUUGUGUGUCUCUGUUAGGGACUACUACUGUUACCGGCUACAGACGCGCCCUGCGAUAUUCAACCCCAUACUACAUGGAGCACGCCUGUUUCAGCAGUGGGGUGUCGACAUGUUCAUCAAGAUUGAGGGAUGUAGGCUAAAGUGGAUCAGGGACCACCAGAGAGAGAUACGUGCCGAUCUAUACCAAGGCCUUGUGGAUAGCAUCGCGGUUGGGGAGAUGCGGGCGAGCGCUGUUGGGAAGAGGAUCGUGCUGCCAGGGACGCAUCAAGGAAGCAACCGAGACAUGAAGCGGAGGCAGAUGGACGCCAUGGCACUGGUGCAGACAUAUGGGAAGCCUGACAUCUUUUUGACUAUGACAUGCAAUCCUAGCUGGGAGGAGAUACUGAAUGAGCUGCUUCCUGGCCAGACACCGCAGGACCGACCAGAUCUUGUCGCACGCGUGUUCAAGGCCAAGCUAGAGACCAUGAAAGAGAUGUUGUUCAAAAAGCACAUCCUUGGUGUUGUGGUAGCGCAUGUGUAUGUCGUCGAGUUCCAGAAGAGGGGCCUCCCCCAUGCACACUUCCUGUUGAUCAUGAAUUCAAAUUAUAAACUCGUGGUGCCAGAGCAGUAUGACCGCAUCAUAUCUGCAGAGCUCCCAGACAGGCAUAAGUAUCCAGAGCUCUAUGCCAUGGUCGUGAAGCAUAUGAUGCACGGCCCAUGUGGCAAUCUUAAUCCCAAAAAUGUGUGCAUGCAAGACUUGAAGUGCAAGAGCAAGUACCCACGACCGUUCAACCAAAACACCUUACAAGGGAAGGAUUCAUACCCGGUUUAUCGACGGCGAGACGAUGGUCGUCAGGCUAAGGUCCGUCGUCAAAUGUUGGAUAACAGAUGGGUCGUGCCUUACAACCCUUAUCUGUUGCGGAUGUUCAACUGCCACAUAAAUGUCGAGGUGUGCUCCAGCAUCAAGGCCGUCAAGUACCUUUACAAAUACGUAUACAAGGGUCACGAUCGAGCUUCAUUCAGCAUUGACCAGCCUGACAGCAACGGGGUUGUAGACGAGAUUAAAAGGUACGUUGAUGCGAGAUGGGUUACUCCACCAGAGGCAAUGUGGAGGAUAUUCGGCUUCAACCUUUCUGGGAGUUUCCCGUCGGUCCUACAGUUGCCGCUUCAUCUCCCUAAUAUGAAUAGUGUCACGUUCAAAGCAGGAGAGGACCUGACUGAUGUCGUCGCCCGUGAUACUGCAUCUAAGUCAAUGCUGACAGAGUAUUUCCUCGCUAAUCAGCAGCAUGUGUGGGCUCGGGAUAUCCUGUACAAGGACUUUCCGGGAAGUUUCACAUGGCAGAGACAGAAAUACUGGAGGCCGAGAGAAAAGCAGCACCAAGUAGGUCGAAUCGUGUCGGCCCAUCCAGCCGAGGGGGAGCGGUACUUUCUGCGAGUGCUGCUCAACCAUGUACCAGGCAAGACAUCCUUCGAGGACCUGCGGACCGUGGGCGGUGUGCUCUGUCAUAGCUUCCGUGAGGCUGCCGAGAGAUUGGGCCUCAUCGAGGCCGACAACACGCUUGACGAGUGUCUUAUAGAGUCAACACAGUUCGCGAUGCCAGCCUCACUCAGGAGGCUCUUUGCAACAAUCUUGGUAUUCUGCGAGCCAGGUGACGUGCGCGGUCUAUGGGAUAGGCACCUAGAGGCAAUGUCUGAUGACUACCGCCGAUCACACACGUGCUCAAAGGCAGUGGAGCAGAUGGUGUUGCUUGACAUAAGGGGCAUGCUACAAUCCAUGGGCAAAGACAUAGUGUUGUUCCCUCUUCCGGACAUCGAUGAGACCUAUGACACUACUGGAGGCGAGGCCAGAGAAGUCACCGAGGAGUCCUCCAUCGAGGUUGACGCGAACGAUGCUGGUUUAGCGUCCUCGCUAAACCCUGAGCAGAGGCUUGCAUACGACGAGAUACUGGCAACAGUCGAUGCUGGUGAUGGGGGUGUAUUCUUUGUUGAUGGCCCGGGAGGCACUGGGAAGACCUUCCUAUACAAGGCACUGCUCGCAAAGGUUCGAGGCGAGGGCAAGAUCGUGGUGGCUACGGCGACGUCGGGCGUCGCGGCUUCCAUCAUGCCUGGAGGAAGGACAGCCCACUCGAGGUUCAAGAUCCCACUCGGCAUUGAAGAUGGGGGGUCGUGCAACUUCACCAAGCAAAGUGGAACGGCCAAGCUCCUGCACAUGGCUUCACUCAUCCUAUGGGACGAGGCCACCAUGACGAAGCGACAAGCGGUUGAGGCACUGGACAAUAGCAUGCGGGACAUCAUGGGACGACGGGACCGACUAUUCGGGGGAAAGACUGUCGUGUUCGGUGGGGACUUCAGGCAGGUGCUUCCGGUCGUCAGGAAGGGGUCACGGGGUCAGAUAAUUGAUGCGACCUUGCGGAGUUCGUACAUAUGGAAGGGCAUGCGCCACCUAAGGCUCCUCACCAACAUGAGGGCGCAUAACGACCCGUGGUUCGCAGAUUACUUGCUAAGGGUAGGCAACGGCACCGAGGAAACCGACGAGGAAGGCAACAUAAGGCUCCCAGAAGAUAUUUGUGUGCAGCCAACAGAAGACGGCGUUGACCUAGAGAAGCUAAUCGACCAUGUAUUUCCUGCUCUAGACGACAACAUGGCUGAUCCAAAUUACAUGACAUCUCGAGCGAUCCUCUCCACCAAGAACGACAACAUUGAUAAGGUAAACACACGCAUGAUAGAGCGCUUCCAGGGCGAAGAGAAGAUCUACCACAGUUUUGAUAUUGCAGAGGAUGAUCCACAUGGCUACUAUGCCCCCGAGUUCCUGAACAACCUAACUCCCAACGGGCUGCCUCCGCAUGCGCUCAAACUGAAGUUAAAUUGCCCCGUUAUACUGUUGAGAAACAUUGAUCCAGCUAAUGGGUUGUGUAACGGCACAAGGCUUGUGGUCUAG